rnacentral:rRNA from 1 species
AUUGAACGCUGGCGGCAUGCCUUACACAUGCAAGUCGAACGGUAACGGGCCUUCGGGCGCCGACGAGCGGCGAACGGUGAGUAAUGCAUCGGAACGUACCUUUCAGUGGGGGAUAACGUAGCGAAAGCUACGCUAAUACCGCAUAUUCUGUGAGCAGGCAAGCAGGGGAUCGCAAGACCUUGCGCUCAUUUAGCGGCCGAUGUCAGAUUAGCUAGUUGGUGAGGUAAAGGCUCACCAAGGCGACGAUCUGUAGCGGGUCUGAGAGGAUGAUCCGCCACACUGGAACUGAGACACGGUCCAGACUCCUACGGGAGGCAGCAGUGGGGAAUUUUGGACAAUGGGGGCAACCCUGAUCCAGCCAUGCCGCGUGAGUGAAGAAGGCCUUCGGGUUGUAAAGCUCUUUCGGCCGGGAAGAAAUCGUAUGGGCUAAUACCCUGUGCGGAUGACGGUACCGGCAUAAGAAGCACCGGCUAACUACGUGCCAGCCGCCGCAGUAACAC